rnacentral:lncRNA from 1 species
AUGCUCUUUGUUUCAUCUUGUAAGUUGCAGGGUUUAGUUAGACCCCGGGGGUUGGCCAGACCCUUAGGGGCUCAGGAAUUCCAAGACACACUUCUUUUCUUGUCUAAAGUGCUGCCUGACUUGCUGUGCUUGCAGGCAGUCAUGGAAUCUGGACAGUAUCCAGGCAGAUCAGAAGCAGAUCAGAGGCUUCUAAAGCCUGAACAAGACUUCCUCCAUUUUAAUUUCCCUAUCACAAUUGCACUCAUCUCACACGCUAGUAAAGUAAUGCUCAAUAUUCUCCAAACCAGGCUUCAGCAAUACGUGAACCGUGAACUUCCUGAUGUUCAGGCUGGUUUUAGAAAAGGCAGAGAAACCAGAGAUCAAAUUGCCAGCAUCUUCUGGAUCAUCAAAAAAGCAAGAGCGUUCCAGAAAAAUAUCUAUUUCUGCUUUAUUGACUAUGCCAAAGCCUUUGACUGUGUGGAUCACAAUAAACUGUGGAAAAUUCUGAAAGAGAUGGGAAUACCAGACCACCUGACCUGCCUCUUGAGAAACCUGUAUGCAGGUCAGGAAGCAACAGUUAGAACUGGACAUGGAACAACAAACUGGUUCCAAAUAGGAAAAAGAGUAUGUCAAGGCUGUAUAUUGUCACCCUGCUUAUUUAACUUCUAUGCAGAGUACGUCAUGAGAAACGCUGGGCUGGAAGAAGCACAAGCUGGAAUCAAGAUUGCCGGGAGAAAUAUCAAUAACCUCAGAUAUGCAGAUGAUACCACCCUUAUGGCAGAAAGUGAAGAGGAACUAAAAAACCUCUUGAUGAAAGUGAAAGAGGAGAGUAAAAAAGUUGGCUUAAAGCUCAACAUUCAGAAAAUGAAGAUCAUGGCAUCUGGUCCCAUCACUUCAUGGCAAAUAGAUGGGGAGACAGUGGAAACAGUGUCAGACUUUAUUUUUUUGGGCUCCAAAAUCACUGCAGAUGGUGAUUGCAGCCAUGAAAUUAAAAGAUGCUUACUCCUUGGAAGGAAAGUUAUGACCAACCUAGAUAGCAUAUUCAAAAGCAGAGACAUUACUUUGCCAACUAAGGUCCGUCUAGUCAGGGCUAUGGUUUUUCCUGUGGUCAUGUAUGGAUGUGAGAGUUGGACUGUGAAGAAGGCUGAGUGCCAAAGAAUUGAUGCUUUUGAACUGUGGUGUUGGAGAAGACUCUUGAGAGUCCCUUGGACUGCAAGGAGAUCCAACCAGUCCAUCCUAAAGGAGAUCAGUCCUAGGUGUUCUUUGGAAGGACUAGUGCUUAAGCUGAAGCUCCAACACUUUGGCCACCUGAUGUGA